rnacentral:rRNA from 1 species
UAGGGAAUCUUCCGCAAUGGACGCAAGUCUGACGGAGCAACGCCGCGUGAGUGAAGAAGGAUUUCGGUUCGUAAAACUCUGUUGUUAGAGAAGAACAGCGCAUAGAGUAACUGUUAUGCGUGUGACGGUAUCUAACCAGAAAGCCACGGCUAACUACGUGCCAGCAGCCGCGGUAAUACGUAGGUGGCAAGCGUUGUCCGGAUUUAUUGGGCGUAAAGCGAGCGCAGGCGGUCAAUUAAGUCUGAUGUGAAAGCCCCCGGCUCAACCGGGGAGGGUCAUUGGAAACUGGUUGACUUGAGUGCAAAAGGGGAGAGUGGAAUUCCAUGUGUAGCGGUGAAAUGCGUAGAUAUAUGGAGGAACACCAGUGGCGAAGGCGACUCUCUGGUCUGUAACUGACGCUGAGGCUCGAAAGCGUGGGUAGCAAACAGG